rnacentral:lncRNA from 11 species
CAAUCAAUGGAUGGGGGGAUGGUUGAAUGAUUCAGUGCAUGGAUUGAAUGAAUUGAUGGAUGGAUACAUGGAUGGACAGUAGGUUGAAUGAAUAGAUGAAUUAAUGAAUAGUUGGAUGGAUGAAUCAAUGGGGGAAUCAAUGGAUGGAUGGAGAGAUGGUUCAAUCAGUGGGUGGAUGGAUCAAUGGCUGGAUGGAUAAAUAGGAUCAAUGGAUGGAUGGAUAGAUGGAUACAUAGAUGGAUAGUAGGUUGAAUGAAUAGAUAGAUGAAUUGAUGAAUAGUUGGAUGGAUGAAUCAAUGGGGGGAUCAAUGGAUGGAUGGAUGGAUAGAUGGAUGGAUGGCUGGAUUGAUGAAUAGGAUCAAUAGAUGGGUGGAUCAGUGGAUGGAUAGAUGGAUGGAUAGAUCAAUCAAUGAAGGGAUCAAUGGAUGGAGACAUGGUAGAAUGAAUCAAUGGAUGGAUGUGUCAAUGGAUGGAUCGAUGAAUGAAUCAAUGGGGGUCCCUCCCAACACUAUUGAUCUUUGUGUCCUGGUUCCAGAAGGAAGUACUGGCGUGUCUGGAGGCACAGCGUCUUCCUGCGCCAGUGGCGAGCUGCGAAGGACAGCCGGCGAAUGGCGAGUGCAUGGACGCUCUGGAAGGAGGCCUGCAAGACGAACCUUCUCGUCCACACCUUGGCUCAUCAGAGGCUGGCCGAAUGGAGUUGGACGACCUGGCGCCGGCGGUGCCUUCAGAGCUGGGUGGCCGAGCGCUUCCUGGACACCGACAACCGGCAUUUGCUCCGGAAGGUGAGUCCGGCUGCAGAAAAGCCCUAGAGGUCAUGGGACAUACUCAUUAAAGCCCCCAAACGAAAGGUCUAUGGGAGGAUUCCGCUCAUCUCGGUCUCUCCUUUUCAUCCUCUGCAGGCCUUUGGAUGGUGGAGGCAGCUGGCGGACGCAUCUCGACACCAGGCCAACGUCCAUCACUAGCAGAAGAAAUUAUAUAUAUAUAUACACACACACACACACACACACAUAUAUACAUAUACAUACACUCGGUUGUAUGCCCUCUGUCCCCAUAAUCCACAGAAAAUAAAUUUCAUCCAAACCACGGUCAGUAAUACGGAGUUAUCAUAAAACCUUCUAUCCUUCCUUCCUGUCCUUCUCUUGAUUUUUCCAUCCCUAUCCCUUUCUAUCCAUCUUCGUCCUUCCUUCCAUCCAUCCCUUUGUCUUCCCUUUCAUCUUUCUCUUUCCUUCCUUCGUUCUCUUUAUUUUCCUCUUUCCUUCCUUCCUGUUUCCUUCUCUUUUCAUUCUUUAGUUUCAUUCAUUAUUUUCUCCCUCUCCCUUCUCUUUACAGUAGAGUCUCGCUUAUCCAACAUAAAUGGGCCGGCAGAACGUUGGAUAAGUGAAUAUGUUGGAUAAUAAGGAGGAAUUAAGGAAAAGCCUAUUACACAUCAAAUUAGGUUAUGAUUUUACAAAUUAAGUUAUACAACAAAUUUGACAGAAAAAGUAGUUCAAUAUGCAGUUAUGCUAUGUAGUAAUUACUGUAUUGACGAAUUUAGCACCAAAGUAUCACGAUGUAUUCAAAACAUUGACUACAAAAAUGUGUUGGAUAAUCCAGAACGUUGGAUAAGCAAGUGUUGGAUAAAUGAGACUCUACUGCACUUGCUUCCUCUUUCCUUCCUCUUCCCCCCCUUCUUUUCCUUCCUUCUUUCCUUUUUUUAAAUUUCAUUCAUGCUUUCUUUUCCCUUCCUUCCUUCUCUAUUCCUUCCUUCUUCCACUUUGGGUCUCCUUGUGGAGAGAAAAAGCUCUCUCUCUCUCUCUCUCUCUCUAUAUAUAUAUAUAUAUAUGAGUGGUCAAUAUAUUUUACCAUCGUUGCAAGUUUCACUCCAAUAGCUUUAAAAAUGAGGGAGAUGGGAGCCCCAGAAGUUUCCCCACUUACACAAUUACUAUAACGAAUUAGUAACGAAAUAUCAUUACUCUUGUUAUAGUAACAAAUUUUUUCACAAACUAUAAUUUUGGAACACUUUAUAUAUGAAAUAUCAGUGCCCCCCAGUUUUGUAAUGAAUUUUGUUAUGGGUUGCAAUCCCUAUGGGCUGUGAUGGAGCUCUCCAAGGUGCUGAAUUUCAGGUCCUUGGUGGGUUUCAGCACCACGGAGAGUUUGCUCGGAUGGAGCCGCACUGACCGCACAUCCCUAUGGGCCAUGAUGGAGAUCUCCAAGGUGCUGAAAUUUAGUUCCUUGGUGGGUUUCAGCACCACGGAGAGUUUUACUUGGAUGGAGCCGCACUGACUGCACACCCCCAUGGGGUGCGAUGGAGCUCUCCAAGGUGCUGAGAUUCAGGUCCUUGGUGGGUUUCAGCACCACGGAGUGCGCUUGGAUGGAGAGUUUGCUUGGAUGGAGCCACACUGACUGCAUAUCCCUACGGGCCACGGAGCUCUCCAAGGUGUUGAAUUCAGCACCUUGGUGGGUUUCAGCACCACGGAGUUUGCUUGGAUGGAGCCGCACUGACUACACAUCCCUAUGGGCCACGAUGGAGCUCUCCAGGGUGCUGAAUUUGGGACAUUGGUGAGUUUCAGCACCACGGAGAGUUCACUCGAUGGAGCCGCACUGACUGCACAUCCCUAUGGGCCACGAUUGUGUCAGAGUAAUUUACGCAGCGCUGCAGCAGUUGGAUGGAGUCAGUGGAACGGAGAACGAAGAGACACCAGAGACGAUGGUAAAACUAUAUACAGUAGUCUCACUUAUCAAAGCUAAACGGGCUGGCAGAAGGUUGGAUAAGUGAAUAUCUUUGAUAAUAAGGAGGGAUUAAGGAAAAGCCCAUUAAACAUCAAAUUAGGUUAUGAUUUUACAAAUUAAGCACCAAAACAUCAUGUUAUACAACAAAAUCGACAGAAAAAGUAGUUCAACAUGCAGUAAUGUUAUGUUGUAAUUACUGUAUUUACGAAUUUAGCACCAAAAUAUCACGAUAUAUUGGAAACAUUGACUACAAAAAUGGCUUGGAUAAGCAAGGCUUGGAUAAGUGAGACUAUUGUACACAAGUUUUACUGAAAGCAGUAAUAAAGACAAAUAGACUUGCAGACAAUGGACACAGGACUUGACUCUCAGCAGACGGCACUCGAC